GUCUCUCCUGCUUCUCCUUGGUAGCCUGGGAUCUUGCUUAGUUACCCUUGCGGGACGGGAGGGGAGGGAGGGAGGGAGGGAGGGAGGGACG
rnacentral:miRNA from 1 species